AUUCAUGAACAUAUCACAUGUUUCCAUGGUAGCAUGCGCACUUGAAGUUAGUUAAAACAAUUCUCGAUUCCAGUGGUGUCAGGGGAGUAAAUGAUGGAGACGGGAUGCAAACUAAAGCAGGAAAAAUACAUAAUGGUGCGAGGUCUAUGAGCAGGAGGGACAGCAUGCAAAAACAAACAAUUUAGGAGAUCCGUGGACAUAAACGACACAGGACACAAAAGAUCAGCUCAGUUAGUCCCUCUACGAAGCAGGUGAGUGCACGCAACAAUAUCAUGAUUGAGGUUUUUAGUUACUAGAACAAUAUAUUGACACUAGAAAAAGACUAUUAUUGUGAAAAUUACUGGCUGCAGACUCCUGAUGUGUUUUUAUCUGUAGUGGUUUAUCUGUACAGAAUAAAUGUUGUUUUUUAUGAAAUGGUCACUCAACUUGAUGUGGUUUGACAUAAAACACAGACAGCUGCUUCCUAACAUAGAGUAAUUCCUGUAAAAUUAUGUUUUUCUUCAUGUUUAAUUUUAUCAGCCUUGUAGCAUCACCUCAAAACAUAACCUUAUAUAUUCUAGUCAACAAUUCAAGACUUUAAAGAAAAUCACUGUUUCAUUUUGUCCUUUAUUCUCUUUUUCACACCGACUUCCUGCCCAGUUAUGUCACCAAACUCCUCAUCCUUCCUCAAUGCCUCCCUGCCCUCUACCUCCAUCUCUUCUAACAUGCCGUUAUCACCUAUUGUCUGCUUUGCCACCAC